rnacentral:rRNA from 1 species
CUAGCUGUAAACGAUGGAUACUAGGCGUUGAGAGUAUCGACCCUCUCAGUGUCGUAGCUAACGCGUUAAGUAUCCCGCCUGGGGAGUACGCGCGCAAGCGUGAAACUCAAAGGAAUUGACGGGGGCCCGCACAAGCGGUGGAGUAUGUGGUUUAAUUCGAUGCAACGCGAAGAACCUUACCAGGGCUUAACAUGUCCGGAACCCUGCCCAAAGGCGGGGGUGCCUACGGGAACCGGAACACAGGUGGUGC